GAUCAGUAAAGUAGGAAUCUUUAAUACCGUUAAAAAUACCUUAAUCGUUUCUUAUGGUAAUUUCAUUUUUUUCUUCCUAAUGCUACAUAUGUGCAAUUCUUCUAAUCAACGAAAAAUAAAAGCUCGUGAUUAUUUCUUAUCUUAUAUCAGUAGAUUUAGUAUAUCGACAAUAUUCGUUAAAAGAAUCUUGAGUAUAAAAGUAGAAAUAUGAAUUCGAAAAAAAGUCCUCGGAUUCUCUCGAUCCAAAGUCAUGUAGUUUCAGGAUAUGUUGGUAAUAAAAGUGCUACAUUUCCUCUGCAAUUAUUGGGCUUUGAAGUAGAUGCCAUCAACUCUGUUCAAUUAUCAAAUCAUACAGGAUAUAAAGUUAUUAAAGGCCAAGUACUUAAUGAUAAAGAUAUAGAUGAAUUGGUAGAUGGUUUGGCGGAAAAUAAUUUGAAUCAUUAUACUCAUCUACUAACAGGAUAUGUAGGAUCUGCAUCAUUUUUAAAAAGAAUAGCUGCACUGGUUCAAACUUUAAAACGCAAAAAUCCUAAUCUCAUAUAUGUAUGCGAUCCUGUUAUGGGUGAUAAUGGUCAUAUGUACGUUCCUAAAGAAUUAAAGGAUAUUUACAAAAAUGACAUAGUUCCACUGGCAGAUAUUGUAACUCCAAAUCAAUUUGAGACGGAAUUGUUAACAGGUAGAAGCGCUAAUAGUUUAAAUGAGUUGCAAACUAUUAUAAAAGAGUUACAUAAAAUGGGACCACAAACUGUAGCCGUAUCAUCUGUAGAAAUGAAUAAUAGAGUAAUAGCAGUAAUCAGUUCAUUGAAAGAUGAUAUAUUGCUUAAAAUUGAUAUUCCAAAGAUACCAUCAACCUUUACUGGUUCUGGUGAUUUAUUUGCUGCUUUAUUUCUCGCUCAUACAUAUCUACAAGAGGAUAUCAAAACUGCCACUGAAAAGACAAUAAAUUCUUUACAAGGUGUUCUUUGUGAAACUUUUAAAUCAUUCCAAGAAUAUAAAGACGAUGGGGCACAAUUUGCACAAAAAAUAGAAUUACGCUUGAUACAAAGUAAAAGGCACAUAGAAAAUCCAGAAAUUAAAUUACGUGCUGAAUUUCUAUGAUGACGAAUUUAUUACAAAGAAUAAUUGAUUCGUGAAAAAGUUGAGUUGCUGGACUGACUGGACAGGAACUCGAAACCAGGGAUCUUUUACUUUCAAGUGACUGCUCUUAUCCAUUGAGCUAUCCAGGGCCAACCGUCCAAUCCUUUCACAAAUGUCUAUUUAAUAGAUUUGGCAUGAAGGCACUCGUCCCAUGAUCUACUGUCUCUUUAAAAGGUAAAUAAGAAGGAAAAAGAAAUAAAGAAUGAGAUUGUACCCGUUACUCCUUUUUGUCCGUGACGACUACUAAAUUUAUCGCCUAC
rnacentral:misc_RNA from 1 species